rnacentral:lncRNA from 1 species
GCUUUUCUUUUUUUUUUUUUCCUUUUCUUUAGCUUCUUAUAAAAAACAUAACUCUGUGGAGACUUUCAAGGAGGAACAACCAGAUUUCAUCACAUUAUUUUCCAGCUGGAUGUGAAGGCAAAGGGUAGCCUAGAAGCUUCUGGCCAAGGAUGAAAAAACCCCUGUCAAUCUGCUUUCCUGAAGGAUCAGCCAGGUUGUCUUCUAAAUCAAGAGCUUUAGCAGACACGUACGAGUGGCAUUGCUGUGACACAUCAUGGAGAGGAUUCGGGUGUGCCUGUUAUCCUGUUAUCUUAUCCUAUCCUAUUGCAUUUCCCAUA